AUGUGCCAGGGGGUUCAGGAUGCAGAGCCCUUCUGUUCCCUGUGCUUUUGGGAUCACACUGUGGCCUGAGCCCCUCCUCUCCUUGCGGUGCUCGCCCACAGCUCAGGUUCCCUGGUCCAGGCAGCGGUGACUCAGCAGCCAUCCUCGCUGUCAGCCAACGUGGGAGAGACCGUCAAGAUCACCUGCUCUGGUCUUAGCAGCAGCUUUGGCUAUGCUUAUGCUGGCUGGUAUCAGCAGAAGGCUCCUGGCGCUGGCCCUGUCACUGUCAUCUAUGCUGAUGAUGAGAGACCCUCGGGCAUCCCUUCGUGAUUCUCCGGAUCCAAGUCCGGCACCACGGGCACCUUAACCAUCACUGGGGUCCAAGCCGAGGACGAGGCUGUCUAUUUCUGCGGUAGCCAUGACAGCAGCAAUACUGAUGAGGAUGAUGAAGCCAAAAAGUAA